AAAAUGGGGUUUCCCAGUCCCUGCCACCUCCACCUCAGUCACAAGUAAAAAAAAAAAAAAAAAAAAAAAAGGUGGGGGGUGCUGCGGCUAAACAUUGUGUGUCUCUUCUUGGAAUCCUUUUCCAGGAGGGAAAGCCCCAAUAGGCUGACCCCGAGCUAAUAGCUUAUAUUUAGGGGAGAAAAGAUAUCUGCUUGUGCUUUCCUUAAAAUGAAGGGGAAAGAUGGGGAUUAAUAAUUUAACUUUAUGUACCAAGAGUUGCCAGAAUAGAGCCUAGGAGAAAGAGCUUAGAAAGAGAACAAAAAUUCUGCUCUCCCUGAUUCUGCUGGCUUGGUGGGUCAGACUAGAGGUGCCCAGGACCAGAGCCCUGAGUUUCGACACAAAUAGAACAAUUUUUUUCUUCCCAGUCGUCCCUCAUCGGCUGGGAGAGUGAGUCAGAUCUGAAGCUGGGAAUUGUGGAAGUUGACAGCAGGGGUCUUGAGAUGGAGGAGGACACAGUGCAAAGGGGGUUAGGGAAGGAAAUACACAAAAUAGUGAAGUUAUAAAAUGAAAACUUCUAGAAUGGUUUGACGAUCAGAUUUUAAAAGGAGGUAAACCAGAGCACAACUACAUUGAGACACAAUAAACAAAGAUGAGGACAAUAUAUAAAACACUUCAAGCAAAUUGUUCUUCCAAAGAGGAGGCACUGGAAUUCAUCAAAAGAGACCUUGUUCACACCCCCAUAGAGUUUCCCAAACAAUAAAUUCGUUUACAAAACAAAAGGAGAAAUCAACACAAAACUAACUCUUGGGCCACCCACAGGGAAAAGAAAUCGAGGAGAUUCGGAAACAGCUGAGAAACUAGUGAGGGAGGAGAAAAACAAAUGAAUAAACUUGAAAUCUGUUAAGUGAUUGUAAAUAUUGAAAUUGGAAGACGGGUUGGAGGAAGGCAUGAACUUGACAUCACUAGCGAAAUGAAGCUCGCAAAAACACAAGGUGCAACUCAUCCCCAAAGAAAAGUAAACUUCCCGUAAGUAGAAUGCUCCUCUCCAAAAGAAGAAAAUAUAAAACUUCCCCAAAAAGUACACUCAUCCCACCCCCCCAAAAAAAGUAUAUUAAUCUAAAUUUAAUAUUUCCCCAAAUCUGAAAUAGAUGAUACAGGGGGGGAAAAUACAAAAGAAUUGUGUGUUUCAACCGAGAGAAAAACAAAAUCAGAUUUAGAUUGUCCAGUGGGGUGGGAAGGGGACUUUGCUUGCAGGUGCCAGAAAGGCGGGGAGGAGUGUCUGAGGGUGAGGGACCCGCUUACCUCGCUCUGGAGCCGCCGCCGGACAGAAGUGGCCUGCGUGCCGGGGGGAAGGAGGAACAGGGGACCUGGGUGUCCCUGGACGAAGGAGGAGAGUGGAAGGACUCGGGGUACCCUUCUCCCCACCUCCGCCCGCCUCCCUCCGGUACCCGGGCCGGUAGAGCUACUGAAAGUUACAAAUUGCUUCCAUUAUUAGCUCAUCCCGGGCGGCCUGGUCAUUGGCCAGCCUCGGACCACGUGGUCCCUCGUACCAAUCGAUCGGAUUUCUAGUUGCAAUUCUCUGUCUGUCCCUUGGCUCGGAACAGAGAAGGGGUGGGGGCAGUGGUAGCGCGGGGGCUGGGGAGGGGCUGGGGGGGUCUCUUCGCCCCCCUCCCCGCCUUGUCCCAGCCCUGAGUGCCCGCCGGCAGGGGCCGAGGGGAUGUUGUGGGCUGGGACGCACCCGCGAUGACACGCACUGGAGGGAGCAGAAAACGUCACCCAGCGCCCCGGCCCUCUCCUCCCAGCCCCCCGGCCGCCAGCCCCGCCGAACACGCCCUCCGAGGGCCCACUCGGCCCCGGGCAGCCCCGGGGCUCACAGCCUGACCCCUCGCCCUGGACGCUCCAUGUUCCCUGUCCGGGUCGCUGCUCCAGCCUCCACUUUGGGGAAGGUGCGCCCCACUCCUGCGCCCUCGGGGCGCCUGCACCCUCCUCACCCCGACGGCCGCGCUGGCGCCCCUCCCGGGCCGAUUGAGGGCGCAAACUUUUGGGCGGACAAAAAGCAAGAGGAGCCGGUCCCGAGCAGAAAAUCCUUCCUCCCCUCCAGCCCUCUGCAGGCCUGCCGCAGCCCCUGCGGGUGGAGUUGCUGGUGCCCAAGGCCGUUGCUCUCACAGGGGGUCCUCUUGCUCUUGGAUGGUGAGGCUGGUUGAUUCUGGCUCUUGGCCGUCUCUCCAGCUCUGACUAGCCAGGCCCAUCGCCAUCCACAUCUGCUCAGAAGGGAGCAGAGAAGGGAGCCGCUCGCUCCGGGCCUUGGCGGAGCAGAUGCAGAGUCUGCCCUGCCUGGCCCGGCUGGGAAGGAGGAGCCCCGUUCACCUCUAAGGCCCUGGAUGUCUGCGCAGAGCCUGCAGGGCGGCUGCCUCUGGGAGCCUGGCACCAGAAGCGGUUCUGCCUUGGGGCUCUCCGUGGAGCCUGGGCCUCUUCUCCGUUCAGUGUGCUGUUGUGCUUUUUUCCCCUCGCUUGGGGUGGGGUUGGGGAAACAGGGAAAUGAAAUGUUUUUCUCCAUGUCCCUAAUUCUUCCCCAGAGGCCCCUACCAAAAAAGAAAAAGAAAAAGAAACUCCAAGCAGCUGAUGGGAAGCACCUGCAGCUUCCAGCCCUGCUCAACAGCAAAUUCAGAUUCUCCUCUGGGCACGGAGGAGAAGCCGAGGCUCCUUCCUUAGGCCUCUCUUGCUCACUGACUCAUUUUGAGGGCAUUUAGGGGUCAAAAUUGAGCCCAGAUUGCUUCAACUGGUAUAAAAUUAGCAUUUUUUUAAAUCACACCAAAGACCCAGACUUUCGCAUCAAGGAAUAGGCGGUCCUCACCCAGAACUGCACCUCCUCCCUGGCCUCUCCCACCAGCGAUGAUAACGGUUUGGGGAGACGGAGGCCUGGAAGGGGAACGAGCAGCCU